rnacentral:lncRNA from 1 species
UAAAAAAGGGUAGUUGUGGUUGGCUCUGCCUUUGCUGUCUUUACCUGAAUAGAGGUCAGGCCCGGGUCCAGGGGAGCGUCCCACGGUCCCUUCAGCAGCAGCAUCUCUAGGGGAAGUGGCCGGCUGCAGGGACUGCACGGUGAGGCAAUCUGUGAGCAGGUCUGGAUGGAGCUCUGUGCUGGACCGCAACUAAGAGGACAAAACGGAAGAGACAUCGAUAAGGAGAGCCGGUCCUUGGAAUAUUUUCCUGGGAAGGCAUCAUGCUCUAUCAGUGCAACUCAGCCCACAAAAAUUUAUCAAGCAGCAACUACGGGUCCUCUGAACGGGCCACACCACGGUUGAGCCAUUGUGACCCCUGCGACACACAGGUCCAGGCCUCCUGGAGUCACAAAGCUUUGAGCAACAGGAGAACCACUAAAGAAGAAGAAACAGCUAGCUCCUGCCUUAACUGAUUAACCGAACUUGCAACAUUCCACCAUUGUGAUAUGUUCCUGCCCUACCCUAAAUAAUCAAUCGGCCUUGUGAUAUCCUGCCAUGUGAACUCCCUCCACCUCGUGACUACGCACCUUGUGACAUUCUUCCCCUGCCCGAAAAGACUGCCCCAACUGUAACCUUCCACUACCUAUCCCAAACCUAUAAAACCAGUUCCACUCCCACCGCCCUUCGCUGACUCCCUUUUCAGACUCAGCCCGCUCGCACCGGAGUGAAUAAACAGCCUUGUUGCUCACACUUAGCCUGUCUGGGUAGUCUCUUCAAUUAGGCACGCGCUUAACACUUUCCAAAUUUUCUACAUUCAAAUGAUGUGCCAAAGCUGGCUCGCACCAAUCUGAGGUGUCAAUUUUGUGCGUCUUUUCCAAACUUUCCAUGCAAUGAUGAUAGACUGAUAGCUUGAAAUCGGUCAUAGUGAAGUAUUUACACCAUGGAAAUUGGCAAUUCUACAAACAGGCUUUUUCCAUCUAAAGAGCUGGUUGCUAUACAUUACCAGCACACCACUGGCA